GACGAACGCUGGCGGCGUGCCUAAUACAUGCGAGUAGAACGCACAGUUUAUACCGUAGCUUGCUACACCAUAGACUGUGAGUUGCGAACGGGUGAGUAACGCGUAGGUAACCUGCCUGGUAGCGGGGGAUAACUAUUGGAAACGAUAGCUAAUACCGCAUAAUAUUGAUUAUUGCAUGAUAAUUGAUUGAAAGAUGCUAUUGCAUCACUACCAGAUGGACCUGCGUUGUAUUAGCUAGUAGGGGAGGUAACGGCUCACCUAGGCGACGAUACAUAGCCGACCUGAGAGGGUGAGCGGCCACACUGGGACUGGGACACGGCCCAGACUCCUACGAGAGGCAGCAGUAGGGAAUCUUCGGCAAUGGACGAAAGUCUGACCGAGCAACGCCGCGUGAGUGCAGAAGGUUUUCGGAUCGUAAAGCUCUGUUGUAAGAGAAGAACGGGUGUGAGAGUGGAAAGUUCACACUGUGACGGUAUCUUACCAGAAAGGGACGGCUAACUACGUG
rnacentral:rRNA from 1 species